GAUGAACGCUGGCGGCGUGCCUAAUACAUGCAAGUCGAGCGAAUGGAUUAAGAGCUUGCUCUUAUGAAGUUAGCGGCGGACGGGUGAGUAACACGUGGGUAACCUGCCCAUAAGACUGGGAUAACUCCGGGAAACCGGGGCUAAUACCGGAUAACAUUUUGAACCGCAUGGUUCGAAAUUGAAAGGCGGCUUCGGCUGUCACUUAUGGAUGGACCCGCGUCGCAUUAGCUAGUUGGUGAGGUAACGGCUCACCAAGGCAACGAUGCGUAGCCGAACUGAGAGGGUGAUCGGGCACACUGGGACUGGAAAACGGCCCAGACUCCUACGGGAGGCAGCAGUAGGGAAUCUUCCGCAAUGGACGAAAGUCUGACGGAGCAACGCCGCGUGAGUGAUGAAGGCUUUCGGGUCGUAAAACUCUGUUGUUAGGGAAGAACAAGUGCUAGUUGAAUAAGCUGGCACCUUGACGGUACCUAACCAGAAAGCCACGGCUAACUACGUGCCAGCCGCCGCGGUAA
rnacentral:rRNA from 1 species